GCCUGGCUUUCAGCAGAUAAUGAUGCCUUUAAUUACAGAACAAACAGAACAAAGGAUCCACUGGGGAGGUGAGAGGGAGAGUCAAACUGACUACUUAGAAACGCUGCUUGGGUUUUCACUUCCACCUGCUUGCUUCAGUUACAAAUUAGGAGCAGGGGGCUUUAAUACAAUUUUGGUCAACAUUUUCCUAGCGUCAUAUCCCACUCCGCAACAACUCCAGCCAUGGUGACAGAGCCACUCCGCACUCCCCCAGCAUGCCCCUGUUGCCCCUUUGUUUUGUCAUUGUUGGUGCUGCUCAGUCAUUCACUCAGCAAGCAUUUCCAGGGCUCCUUCUCUGACCUGGACUCUGGGCAGUGAGAAGACACAGCCCUUGCUCUCCUUAGACAGGUGGUCUAGGGUUAGCUCCACGAACCAGCCAACGUCAACCAGAAAACGACACAAGGAACUGGAAACUUCAGAGGUGCUGCCUGCUACAGAGGGAGGGACAGUGCUCCAGAGAGGAAUCCAGAAGAAAUCACUCUAAUCGUGAGUUUCUCAGCAGCAUCUGCGAGCUGGAUACCAUGCUGAGAAUGCAGGGAUAUGUGUAAGACCACACAAAGGCAAGCCGUGACACAGGACAAGAGAAGCGCACUUACCAUGAGCUCCAAAGCUGAACUGGUUAUAAUGCAGAAACACUCACCCACUUGCAACAGAAGAGGCAACCAAUAAGUACUCAGUGAAUGAAUGAAACAACUGAGAUAAAUCUGGGUAUUCAAAAAGAAAGGUCAGCAACCGGAGAGCAGUCUCUGUGUGCUCUACCAUCCUACCAGCACCCUACGACGUGCACCAACUGUGUGCUCAGUGCCCAGCCAUAAAUCUCAUGUGCACCAGAGAACUCAAAAUCUAGUAAGAAAUAAAUCAAGUCAACGUGAAGAGUACAACCCAAUGAAUCACACCUGAGCAGGCAGCUCACACUGACACUCUCGGGCUGCAAUCAAAACAGUAACUGCGCGAGUGAUCAUGUAGGCUGGCAGGUGACUUCACACUGUGACAAGGUAGAGGGAGGAGUGACUACAGAAGAAUGACCAGAGGAGCAGGCGUUUGGCGCAGUGCUUAAGUUGCUGCUUGGGAUGCCCAAAGUGCCUGGGCACAAGUCUCACCUCUGCUUCUGAUACAGCUUCCUGAUCGUGUGCAUCCUGGGAAGGACCAGAUGACAGCUCAAGUGCUUGGCUUCCUGCACCAUGUGGGAGACCUGGAUGGAGUCCCAGCUCCUGGUUUUGGAAUGCCUCAAAACUGGCUAUUGCAGGCAUUUGGGGAGUAAACCAGCAGAUGGAAGAACUCUCUCUCUCUCUCUCUCUCUCUCUCUCCCUUUCUCUUUCUCUCUCUGUAACAUGUCUUGUCAUUUGCUUUGAAGAUGGAAAAACGGGGCCACUUGCCAAGGGCUACAAGCAGCCUUUAAAUGCUGGAAAAUGCAAAGAGACCAAGAGCCUCCAGAAAGGCACUCAGCCUUGCUUAUACCUGAUUUGAUCCAAAUGAGACCCAUGUCAGAUAUCUGACCUACAGAACUGUAAAAUAAUAACUUUGGGUGGUUUUAAGCCAAUAAAUGUGUUUAGAGCAGUAAGAAAUAUUUACUUAAAGAUAUGAUCUAGAAAAACUAAAAUGGAAGAUAAGAAAAUGAAAUAGUGGUCAGCAUUUGUCGGAGUGGUUUAAGAUACUACACAUCCUAUAUGAGAGUGACUGGGUUCAAGUCCCUGGUUCUGCUUCCAAUUCUAGCUUCCUACUAACGGGCACUCUGGGAAUCAGCAGAUGGUGGUUCAACUACUUGAAUCCCUGCCAGCCACAGAGGUGACCUGGGUUAAUUCCUGGUUCCUGGCUUUGUCCUGGUCUCAGCCCACCCCAUCCCACAAGUGAUUGGGUCAUUUAGAGAAUCAACCAGAAGAUGGGGGUUCUUUCUCUCUCUUUUUCUGUGUGUGUGUGUCUCUAUCUCUGCCUUUCAAAUAAAAAUAAAUUAAAAAUAUUUUUAAAAUACUCCUAUACCAAAUAUCUUCAAAAAGUUCAUAGAAAAUACAGACCAAAAAAUUAUGCAUGGAUUUCAAAACAUUUUUGCACCAAAACAAACCUAUCUUUUAAUUCCAUUUUACCAUAUUCUUAAGUACCCUCACAUGAUUCAAGAUAACAUGGAAGUCAUUCAGAAAUAAAAUGUAUAGACCAGUCUGAUGGCUAUGCAGCCGAUCUAGUGAGCAUUCUGGCAAAGUGAGGAUAGAAGGUUUAUGAA